AGUGAGCGCUGGCGGUAGGCCUAACACAUGCAAGUCGAACGGCAGCACAGUAAGAGCUUGCUCUUACGGGUGGCGAGUGGCGGACGGGUGAGGAAUACAUCGGAAUCUACUUUUUCGUGGGGGAUAACGUAGGGAAACUUACGCUAAUACCGCAUACGACCUACGGGUGAAAGCAGGGGAUCUUCGGACCUUGCGCGAUUGAAUGAGCCGAUGUCGGAUUAGCUAGUUGGCGGGUAAAGGCCCACCAAGGCGACGAUCCGUAGCUGGUCUGAGAGGAUGAUCAGCCACACUGGAACUGAGACACGGUCCAGACUUCUACGGGAGGCAGCAGUGGGGAAUAUUGGACAAUGGGCGCAAGCCUGAUCCAGCCAUACCGCGUGGGUGAAGAAGGCCUUCGGGUUGUAAAGCCCUUUUGUUGGGAAAGAAAAGCAGCAGGUUAAUACCCCGCUGUUCUGACGGUACCCAAAGAAUAAGCACCGGCUAACUUCGUG
rnacentral:rRNA from 1 species